rnacentral:rRNA from 1 species
UGCUGGAGGUAUCAGAAGUGCGAAUGCUGACAUAAGUAACGAUAAAGCGGGUGAAAAGCCCGCUCGCCGGAAGACCAAGGGUUCCUGUCCAACGUUAAUCGGGGCAGGGUGAGUCGACCCCUAAGGCGAGGCCGAAAGGCGUAGUCGAUGGGAAACGGGUUAAUAUUCCCGUACUUGGUGUUACUGCGAAGGGGGGACGGAGAAGGCUAUGUUGGCCGGGCGACGGUUGUCCCGGUUUAAGCGUGUAGGCUGGUUUUCCAGGCAAAUCCGGAAAAUCAAGGCUGAGGCGUGAUGACGAGGCACUACGGUGCUGAAGCAACAAAUGCCCUGCUUCCAGGAAAAGCCUCUAAGCAUCAGGUAACAUCAAAUCGUACCCCAAACCGACACAGGUGGUCAGGUAGAGAAUACCAAGGCGCUUGAGAGAACUCGGGUGAAGGAACUAGGCAAAAUGGUGCCGUAACUUCGGGAGAAGGCACGCUGACACGUAGGUGAAGUGAUUUACUCAYGGAGCUGAAGUCAGUCGAAGAUACCAGCUGGCUGCAACUGUUUAUUAAAAACACAGCACUGUGCAAACACGAAAGUGGACGUAUACGGUGUGACGCCUGCCCGGUGCCGGAAGGUUAAUUGAUGGGGUCAGCGCAAGCGAAGCUCCUGAUCGAAGCCCCGGUAAACGGCGGCCGUAACUAUAACGGUCCUAAGGUAGCGAAAUUCCUUGUCGGGUAAGUUCCGACCUGCACGAAUGGCGUAAUGAUGGCCAGGCUGUCUCCACCCGAGACUCAGUGAAAUUGAACUCGCUGUGAAGAUGCAGUGUACCCGCGGCAAGACGGAAAGACCCCGUGAACCUUUACUAUAGCUUGACACUGAACAUUGAGCCUUGAUGUGUAGGAUAGGUGGGAGGCUUUGAAGYGUGGACGCCAGUCUGCRUGGAGCCGACCUUGAAAUACCACCCUUUAAUGUUUGAUGUUCUAACGUGGACCCGURAUCCGGGUUGCGGACAGUGUCUGGUGGGUAGUUUGACUGGGGCGGUCUCCUCCUAAAGAGUAACGGAGGAGCACGAAGGUUGGCUAAUCCUGGUCGGACAUCAGGAGGUUAGUGCAAUGGCAUAAGCCAGCUUGACUGCGAGCGUGACGGCGCGAGCAGGUGCGAAAGCAGGUCAUAGUGAUCCGGUGGUUCUGAAUGGAAGGGCCAUCGCUCAACGGAUAAAAGGUACUCCGGGGAUAACAGGCUGAUACCGCCCAAGAGUUCAUAUCGACGGCGGUGUUUGGCACCUCGAUGUCGGCUCAUCACAUCCUGGGGCUGAAGUAGGUCCCAAGGGUAUGGCUGUUCGCCAUUUAAAGUGGUACGCGAGCUGGGUUUAGAACGUCGUGAGACAGUUCGGUCCCUAUCUGCCGUGGGCGCUGGAGAACUGAGGGGGGCUGCUCCUAGUACGAGAGGACCGGAGUGGACGCAUCACUGGUGUUCGGGUUGUCAUGCCAAUGGCACUGCCCGGUAGCUAAAUGCGGAAGAGAUAAGUGCUGAAAGCAUCUAAGCACGAAACUUGCCCCGAGAUGAGUUCUCCCUGAGACUUAGAGUCUCCUGAAGGAACGUUGAAGACGACGACGUUGAUAGGCCGGGUGUGUAAGCGCAGCGAUGCGUUGAGCUAACCGGUACUAAUGAACCGUGAGGCUUAACCUUACAACGCCGAAG